rnacentral:pre_miRNA from 1 species
AAAAGCCUUUGCAUCUGCCGGAGCGGAGGCCAGGGCUGCUGGAUCCGGCGACCCCGCCCGUCCCGCCUGCUGAUUCGGCCGGCCGGA